AAUAUUGGACAAUGGGCGCAACCCUGAUCCAUCAAUGCCGCGUGUGUGAAGAAGGCCUGCGGGUUUAAAGCACUUUCAUUAGAGAAGAAAAGCCUACGGUUAAUAACCGUGAGUCUUGACGUUACUUACAGAAGAAGCUCCGGCUAACUCCGUGCCAGCAGCCGCGGUAAUACGGAGGGAGCGAGCGUUAAUCGGAAUUACUGGGCGAAAGCGCGCGUAGGCGGCUUUGUAAGUCGAAUGUAAAAGCCCUGGGCUCAACCUGGGAAUGGCAUUCGAUACUGCAGAACUAGAGUAUGGUAGAGGGAAGUGGAAUUUCCGGUGUAGCGGUGAAAUGCGUAGAUAUCGGAAGGAACACCGGUGGCGAAGGCGACUUCCUGGGCCAAUACUGACGUUGAGGCGCGAAAGCGUGGGUAGCAAACAGGAUAAGAUACCCUGGUAGUCCACGCCGUA
rnacentral:rRNA from 1 species